rnacentral:lncRNA from 1 species
UAGUUUAGAAAUUUGCCUAUAUUCACGGUCGGGCUCAAUCAAUUCACUAAACAAAAUCGUGAAUACAAAUUACAAUAAGAUAAUACAAGAUUACCUCCCUUCACCAUCUAUAACUUACACUAAAAACCUUGCUUAAAUGCAAUUGAACCCACGAUGGAAUAUCAAGUGUCUAUAAUACUAUGUAAUUAUAGAACUCGAACACUAGAAGCACUCUCACACAACUUUGUCUCGCUCACUCACCAAGUGUAUCACUAAUUGAAUUUCUUGUUGACU